rnacentral:tRNA from 1 species
GGGGAGGUGGCAGAGUGGUAAUGCAGCAGCCUGCUAAGCUGUGACGGGUUUCCCGUCCCCGAGUUCGAAUCCCGGUCUCUCCGCCA